rnacentral:rRNA from 1 species
UUAUAAGACUCCUUCAAUGAGUCGAGUUGUUUGGGAAUGCAGCUCUAAAUGGGAGGUAAAUUUCUUCUAAAGCUAAAUACAAGCUAGAGACCGAUAGCGAACAAGUAGAGUGAUCGAAAGAUGAAAAGUACUUUGGAAAGAGAGUUAAACAGUAUGUGAAAUUGUUGGAAGGGAAGCAUUUGCAAUCAGAUCUGUGUUGUUGGAAAUCACCUACACAAUUAUUGUGCUUAGAGCAUUUUCCUUCAAUACUUGUCAACAUCAAUUUGAGUAGUGAUAAAAUCUUAGUCAAAAUGUAGCUCAUUGAGUGUUAUAGUUGAUUUUGCUUGUCACUAACUUAGAUUGAGGAACGCGAUAGCAUGGAUGUUGACUUAAUGGUUGUAAGUGGCCCGUCUUGAAACACGGACCAAGGAGUCUAACGUUUACGCGAGUGUUUGGGUGUAAAGCUCAAGCGCAUAAUGAAAGUAAAUGUAGGUGGGAGAUUUUUCUUUGGAAAAUUGCACCAUCGACCGAUCUUGAAGUUUUCUGAUGGAUUUGAGUAUGAGCGUAAUUGUUGGGACCCGAAAGAUGGUGAACUAUGCCUGCUUAGGCUGAAGUCAGGGGAAACCCUGAUGGAGGGUCGCAGCGGUUCUGACGUGCAAAUCGAUCGUCAAAAGUGGGUAUAGGGGCGAAAGACCAAUCGAACCAUCUAGUAGCUGGUUCACACCGAAGUUUCCCUCAGGAUAGCAACGACAAAAUCAGUUUUAUGAGGUAAAGCGAAUGAUUAGAGGCAUUGGGGUUGAAACAACCUUAACCUAUUCUCAAACUCUGAAUGUGUAAGAAGCUCUUGUUACUUAAUUGAACUUGAGUAUUUGAAUGAAUUGUCGUUAGUGGGCCAUUUUUGGUAAGCAGAACUGGCGAUGCGGGAUGAACCGAACGUGGAGUUAAGGUGCCAGAGUACACGCUCAUCAGAUACCACAAAAAGUGUUGGUUCAUCUAGACAGCA